rnacentral:rRNA from 1 species
ACGAACGCUGGCGGCGUGCUUAACCCAUGCAAGUCGAACGGAAAGGCCCUGCUUGCAGGGUGCUCGAGUGGCGAACGGGUGAGUAACACGUGGGUGAUCUGCCCCUUACUUUGGGAUAAGCCUGGGAAACUGGGUCUAAUACUGGAUAGGACCAUGCUGUAGGUGGUGUGGUGGAAAGAUUAGUUUCGGUAAGGGAUGAGCUCGCGGCCUAUCAGCUUGUUGGUGGGGUAAUGGCCUACCAAGGCGUCGACGGGUAGCCGGCCUGAGAGGGUGGACGGCCACAUUGGGACUGAGAUACGGCCCAGACUCCUACGGGAGGCAGCAGUGGGGAAUAUUGCACAAUGGGCGCAAGCCUGAUGCAGCGACGCCGCGUGGGGGAUGACGGCCUUCGGGUUGUAAACUCCUUUCAGCCAUGACGAAGCCCUUGUGGUGACGGUAGUGGUAGAAGAAGCACCGGCUAACUACGUG